rnacentral:lncRNA from 1 species
UUCCAUACAUUAUUCAGAAAAUCCUUUUUCUUCUGAUAAAACUUUCUUUAAUAAUUAAUACGAGUUGAAGAUGGACUGAAUGUGCAUUCUGAGAUGCUGUAGACAUCUAUUUUCACUACUUGCAUUUCAAAUUUCCUGUGUUCCUGGGUUUUUACUGGUUGUGUGGAUGAUGUGUUUGCUUGCUACUCUCUUAACCUUACUCAUAGGUUCUUCUUUUUUCUGCUGAAAUUCCAGGUAUCCAUUCUCACUCAAUACGUCCCCUUGGGAAAGAUUCGGCAUACGUCCCUGUUUGCAUGUGUAUCCGACUAUUCCUCCAUCAUAUCAUGAUUCUUUUUGCCUACAUAGAGUUUGAUUCUGCAUCACUUAGUCAAAAGAGGACUUCAAAACGAAAAGUUAUGUUAGUAUGCGUGAAAAGCAACUGCUUGAAAAUGAUGGAAGAAAAUCUCAGUAACAUUUUUCUAAGCAGAAAGACAAGAAGGGUUGCAUUGAUGAUAAGCAACUCCCAUUUCCAACCGAGAGGUUGUGAGUUCGAGUCUCCCCAAGAGCAAGGUGGAAAGUUCUUGGNNNNNNNNNNNNNNNNNNNNNNNNNNNNNNNNNNNNNNNNNNNNNNNNNNNNNNNNNNNNNNNNNNNNNNNNNNNNNNNNNNNNNNNNNNNNNNNNNNAACAGCCUCUCUACCCCAGGGUAGGGGUAAGGUCUGCGUACAUACUACCCUCCCCAGACCCCACUAAGUGGGAUUAUACUGGGUUGUCGUUGUUGACUAUAUGAUGAUUAUGUACAAAAAUUAGAGUUUUAGCCAAUUAUAAUAGUUUAUGCGACUCUGCUAGAACAACGGGAUCCGGGGGUGCCUAACACCUUCCCUCGGGUGAACAGAAUUCCUUACUCAAGAAUUUCUAGUUCGCAGACUCCAAUUAGGCAGUCGAAAAAUAUUCCUCGAUUUUGGAUUUAAAAAUAAACCGGUGACUUGGGACCCCAAUAGUCGAACCUACCCGAGUGGUGAAUCUUAAAUAAAUAAUUAAUUCCAUUUCAAAUAAUGUCACUUUAAUUGGGAAAACUCCCUUAUACGUGUCAUCCUUCGGGGUAGCCGUGUAAAAAGGAGGUGUAACAGUUACUCUCAUUUAGCCCUAAUACUGCUAUUCUCUCAAUUUUCUCUCCUUAUUUACAAGCCGUUCAACAUGUAAAUCCAAAGCAAAUAAAUGCGCAAGUAGCACGUAAUAUACAUCAGGAUGGUCUUUUCAUUUCGGGUCACCUGUCCUAGAAGGACCCAACCCCUGUGUUGAGUCCCCUAAUUCAAAUGUACGUGAUGCAAACAAGCCUUCUUACUAGGGAUCAGGCAUGAGGUUUUGUUAUACUAGGUUCAAAAUCUAGGUAUUUUUUCUAGACCGUGUACCCGACCGGACAACUCGAGUCGAGGAGGAGCCUACGUACAGGGUACCCGAAAGAUCGUCCGGCUAAGUAACUUGUCCGAGCCUCUUUCUUAUUGAAAGGAAUGACAUUAACAGAAUAGGGAGUCUCUACCAGUGAGCACAUCCCCGAAGAUAAGAAGAGAAGGGUUUUGUAACAGUUUAUAUAUAUAAUUCAUCCAAUAUUAAAGCGGUAAAGCAUUUAGCAUCUAUAGCAUGGAACAUGUAAUGAAAUCAGAUAAAGCCAAAUAUAACAGUUAUGCUAAGCUCGAAUUCUUGAAUCCUGAACCAGAGAUUUUGGACCAGUUUCCUUCUUGCCCCAGCAGAGUCACAGAGCUGUCACACCGCCUUUUUACACGGCAACCCCGAAUGAUAAACAUAUAAGGGAGUUUUUCCAAUUAAAGUGAUAUUAUUCAAAAUGGGAUUAUUUUUUUGUUAGAGUUGCCACUUGGGAUAGGUUUGGUUUUUGGGGUCCCAAGUCACCGGUUUAAUUAGAAUCCCAAAUUUAGGAAUUUUUGACUGCCCAAAUGGAGUCUGCGAACCAGAAAUUCUAAGUAAGGAAUUCUGUUGACCCGAGGGAAGGUAUUAGGCACCCCCGGAUCUCGUGGUUCUAGCACGGUUGCUUAAAAUACUAUAAUUGGCCAAUUAUCUGAUUUAAUAGAUGUUUCAAAUCUAUAGUGCAACUUCAAAUUAUUUACCGCUUUUAAUUAAUUUUAUGGAAGAUUGAACAUCGUUUAAAACGUACCUUUAGAUUGUGUCACAUGAAAUGCACCCACAAUCCGAAACACAUUUUAUUCAACGUUUUAGGAUUUGGAUUUGGGUCACAUGAAAUGCACACACGAGUUAGAAAAGUAAUAUUAUUAAAUACGCGCCUAAAGCAACUACGCAUUUGCACUUUGCAAGGGCCAUGAAAUUUACUAAAUGGCACGGCUCAGAAUCUAAGGAUCCAUUCAAGAUUAAAUAAAAACGAGGGUCUUGCAAUUGUCAUUGUUUUUUGCCUGGCAUAGCACACCUCACUAACUAAUGGGCUUUUGUUAUUCUCCAAUGCUCCUACGGCCUAAUAACCAAAUGUGAAACAACAUGAAAUUGAGUUUUCUACACAAUUAUUCUUCUCUCAGCCAAACAUCCGUUUACUGUUCUAAUCAACUUCAAAUAUAAGUAACAACUUGAAAACAUGUCCUUUAUAUAUCUUUUUUUUAUCCACAAACUUAGCAAACAUUAAAAGAUAAAAGCAAAAAGCCAAAGAACAUUUAUAGCUUGGUGAGAUAACAACAAACAACAAAAUGAAGCCAACCAACUUCUGAAUCCAUAAAAAUGGCAGAACUCACGACUUGCAAUUCAAAAUUCAUGCUAUCCAAACCAUAUGAUGAAAUUGAAGGGAGAUACUUGUGAAAAAUGAAUAAGGAAACUUCCUCUGUCAACUACAAGUCACUGAUAUCAAUUAAAAUAGGAGAAAGCAAUAGAAACAACAACUAUAUGAUCAAGGAUAAUCUUAUUUAAUGCCUACGAAGAUUGUGUAUUGAAAAUUACCAGACUUCAUCAAAAAACAACCUUCAAGUGUCGACAAACGCAUAGUAGGAGUAGCACUUCCAUAGUUACCAGAAAUACACGAAUAAUCUAGCUUGAAUUUUGGGCCUUUUUUUGGUUGACGUAGGUCAGUUAGUAGUUAACAUUUAAAAGUAGCAACUGUCAUUUAAUCUCUCAAGGACAACGCAACUAAUGAAAGCGAGGACUUCAUAAACAUAGCAUUAUAAAUAAACAGAAACAAAGCAUGUAAAUGUACGAGUCGAAACUUAGACCUUAAACUGGAAACAAAGAUUAAUGAUCUCAAAUCGAACCUCGGCGGAAACUCGAAUAGAACCUCAGCACGUCAAUCGAAUUCCAUUCACAAAAUCGAUAAGCACGCUAAUUUUUAAUGAACGAGCUAGCCUUUUUACGGAGAACUCCAGGCAAAUUCAAUUAAAAUUCCAGCAAAGUGUACACCCAUGGAAAUAGGACACGAAUCAGAAGCCUCGAACGAAUCCGUAAACCAAAGAACACGUCGGAAAACUCAACCUCGGUGACUCGAGCAGCAAACUCACUAUGAUUGAACUCCGUUCGAGAACCAAACGUUUGGAAAUCGAUGGGUGGAAGCAGAGGACGCUGGAAAGGGUCUGUUCUAAAACGAAAACUGAACUUCUUAGUCUCUUCCUCGAUUUUUAGGCGUAAUUUUUGUUCUUUUGUUUUUCAAUUCUUAAGGUCCGAGGCUGCUUUCUCUACAGGGGUCUGUUGGGUUUUAUUUUCACUCCACCAAGAUGUGUGAAGCUGCGCAGCCUCUCCUCCCUUUGCGUAUUAGAGUGUAGGUUUUGU